rnacentral:lncRNA from 1 species
UCCGUAACAAACCUUGCCGGCGAACCCGCGUCUGUUGCAGCUGAAUCACGAGCAUCGCGGGAUUCUAACCUCCCCUGGACGGUAUAUGAGCGUGGCCGCCUCCCCUCACAAUCAACCGAGGCGCCUCGUGCUGGGAGCCAUCCCCGUAGACCAAAUCUGAGAGAGGAGUGGAUGCCGCCGCGGCUAUUCUUGCCGUCGUCGUGAUUCCGCUCAUCUACCUUCGCUCGGUGUGCGUGGCAUGGUCAUCGAAGAUCUCCAGGGCGCGUUGAAGCUCGUUAUGGCGACGCCGGGCGGGAUGGCUCUCUCUGUCACCGAAAUUUCACCGGAACUGAAUCUCUAUUGUCGGGUGCCGCCGCCGCCAAAACUUCGCACCAUAUCGCCGCUCCCCCUGUUUUGUGCCCGGAGGAACUCGCGGAUUCGUGCGCAACCUCAUCGCCGACUAUUUUGGACUUGUGGUUGGCUCGGGCCACCUCGAUUGCUCACCGGUGUCCCAGCUCCGCCUCGGAUCCGCUUUGCACCGUCGACUGGCCGCAACACGGUUCCAAUUGCCGGUAACAACUUCCCCUAUGUCUCACCGUAGCUCUGCAUUUGUAUAGUUUACCUACAAUCGGACUCUGGGGCCCUGAAUUGCCGUAUCCGGUUACUCCGGCGAGGAGCGCCGCCGUAGCGCGUGCGGCAACCUCGCUGUCGUGGCGUGUGGUUGGGGAUGAGAGCCUAGCCGUCGAUUGAGCAAUCAAGGGUGCAGGUUAGAUCGGGAGGGCGGAUCAGGCCAGGGUAAAUGCGGAUCGUCCGAUCGCGAUCGGACGGGUCGGGGCGAUCGCAGGGGAUUUUAAAUCCAAACCGUAGAUUUGUAAUCGUGCGGUGCCUACUGGGUACCGAUUCGUUUCGAAGCCGGUCUAAUCGUAGCCGUAGAACUUUAAUCCAACGGCCGGGAUUGGCCCGUACCCCUUCGCGGGUACGUUUUACAAAAGAAACCCCGCCAAACUUUGAAACCAACCCGCCAUCCGCGCGGGGAUUAAGUCUGAGUCUUCAGAUAAAUUGCGCUAAGGCCCCUGUCUUUCUCAGAUUUAUUGCGCCCAGUCCAGAGCCGAGUUAAAUUGAUUAAAUGAAUUGGAAAUUGGAUUUUUAAUAUGAAAAUAAACCCUAGAACUUCAAUAAUUCAUAGAAAAUGCAUAUGAACUCCAAAUUACUUCAUUCCAGUUCCUAAAAUUUUGUAAUAAUGUUGUUCAUUACAUAGCACCUCUGUUUUAACAUGAAAAUGGUAUUAAAAUUUAUUUCUUAACUAAUCUUGUAUCAAAUACAUAAAACCUUAGGAAAUUCGUAUCUCCUUCGUUUUAAAUCCGAUUUGACUCGUUCCAGUUGCGUUAGUCUCGUAGCAACGCGUAGAUUAUUAUUACUCAGUUUAUUCUUAUGUUUGUUGUGAUGUUAAUUUUGCCUAUACCAUAUUUGUUUGUAUUGCUACGACUAGUGUGAGGUCACGAGUCACCUGAAGAUCAUCCUGGUACCUGGAAUCUCAAGUCUCAGGCAAGUUGUGCCCUUGAUCACUUUUUUUUUACCCAGCCAUGUUCUAAUUAAUCAUAAUGAUCUGCAUAGGUUAAUUUUGAUGGGACCCAAUAGGUUACCCUAGUUUGAUUAUCUUUAUACCUUGUUACCACUGAACUUUUUGGGUAGUACUUGCUAGUGCUUUAUGUGGUUUUGGGUAUGAAGAUACAUUACUCAUGAUUAUACUUUUGUUAUCCGUUGUUAUUUAUCGUUCAUGAUAAGAUCAUUAUGUUAAUUGGAACAUGGAGCGACCACCCGGGAAAACAGUGCUACCACAAGGGUAUAAUGGGACGCCCUUGGCUGAUUAAUUAGGAAAGCUAGUGGAGGACUACCUUACCCGAAAGGGGCAAGGGCAGUAGGGGAGUGGUCAGUGUAGGGAGGCCCUCGGGAGGAUUUUGCUGCGAUGGCGGUCCUGCAAGGGAAUUCCUGCAUUGGAGCUUCCUAUAAACUGUAGCGGGUUUUCUGAAGCUAGUGGAACUUUGUAAAGGCCUCGUAGUGUUACCCUGCCUCGCCUCCUCGGUAGAGGUGUAUGGGAAGUCGUGAUCCCUUGGCAGAUGGGUAACAUGACUUGUGGGUAAAGAUGCGCCACCUCUGCAGAGUGUAAAACUGGUAUACUAGCCGUGCUCACGGUCAUGAGCAGCUCGGACCCUCACAUGAUUAAACUAUGGAACUUAAAUUCAAUUUGUCAUAUGCAUUGCAUCGCAGGUGAUGUUGUUACUUUGGUUCUACUGCUUAAUUGGGUUGGUAUUUACUUAUACUUAGUAAUUGCUAAUAAAAUCUUGACCAACUUUAAAAGCAAUGCUCAGCUCUAACCAUCCUCUUUGGUAAGCCUUACACUUCACAUGAACUCACACUUUGGCGAGUUCAUUCACAUUAUUCCCCACAACUUGUUGAGCGAUGAACAUAUGUGAGCUCACUCUUGCUGUCUCACACCCCCCCCCCACAGGUCAAGAGCAGGUACCACAGGAUGAGGCGCGUGGAGGAUGCUGUGAUGAGUUCGUGAGUGGUCUAGGUCGUCGUCGCCCAGUCAACUUUGGGUUGCUGGAUCGUUUCCUCAUAUGAUGUAAUUAUUUAAUUAUUUUUUGUACAGAACUCCUGUUAUAUAGUAAAGAUGUGACAUUCGAUCCUGUGCCACUAUGCAUCAUAUGUGUGAGACUUGGUCCCAGCACACCUGGUGUUUAUGUUCGCGCCCGGGUUUUUGACCCCUAAAAUCCGGGUGUGACAGAAGUGGUAUCAGAGGAAUGUUGACUGUAGGACGAAACCUAGAUAGAACUGGACAACCAAUAUUUACUUACCUUUGCUACUCUGAUUCUUUUCUAAACUUUUCUUAAUCUUUUCUCAUCUAUUUCCGCUUUACUCUGAUUAUUCUUACCUUUUCAUUCUAAAGACAAAUGUGGAUUUCACACUUUGAAAUCCUGUGCCUAAAGUGACUUUAGGAAUAGGAGACCUACUCUUAGGAACAAAAACAAAACUAUUUUUAUAGGUAUUUGUAUGCUUGAAUGUUUGUUCUUAUGAUACUUGUUUGAUUUGGAUCUUUGAUUGAGUGUGAUUAGUUGUGGAGUAAUGUCCACAAUCACAUCUGCAUAUACAUAUAAAAAAACCGUUAUAAAAAUAUCCAAAUAAACUAGGAAUCUAGCCUAGCAAAAUCCAUCUUAUCUUGAAAAAGUCUAUCCCACACUCAUAGAUCCAUCUUAUCCUAAAAGAAAAUAGAUUCUCAUCUUAUCUUGAAAAGAUUUAUCUUAUCUGACCUCAAAAGAUUCUACCUUAUCCUUAUGAAUUCAUCUUACCCCAAUAAGCAUAUUUACCCUACACUAGUAAUAACCAUGAUCUAAUCCAAAGUAAUUAGACACUAACUAGUUUAAUAUAGUCAUACCAAUCUAAUCUAGAUCCCAUCUAAUCUUAUAUGAUCUAAUCUAAUGUGGCUACUUAAACAUGAUAAUUAAUACUGGUGAAAUAGAUUAGACACUACUAGCUACGUUUUAACCUAAAUUGAUGCCUUAUAACAACUUGGCCGUACACAACUACUUAACAUACACGAUGGGUUGUCUAAACCAUCCAUUCCAACCUAAACAUCAAACCAGAUCUUGACCUACCUCAUGUGGCUUAUCCUACCCACAUAUAUCUACAUGACCCUAAAACCUAGCUGGAGACACCAAGACCGAAAGAAAGGAAAAGAUCAACGUCAAGGCAAGAAGGGAGGUAGACCAGAUCUCCAAAUGAGAUAAGACCCAUCAUUUGCGAUGAAAAGCUUUCCUUACCAUGAACCUUCUUAUCACCAAACUAUUCUUUCCCUAACCUAUCCAUCUCUUAUAUCCUACAUAAUAAGUAGUUGGAUACCUAUGCUCUCCUAAAUCACCCACUAUGGAAAAAAUGUGAAACUCUGAAUUUUUGAACCAAUUAGAAAUUAAAGGCUAAAAUCACAAACCAAUUCUUUUAUAUCCCUUUUCUUACAAAUCUCGAGGACGAGAUUAUUUUUAAGGGGGGUAGGAUUUGUAAUACCCAAAAAAUGUAAAUAGUGAAAAUAGAGGAGAGCCCAAUAUUUUGUGAACUAUACUUAUCAUCACAUGUGAAUAUCAUAUGUAAAAACAAAUAAUUAAUAAAUGAUGUGCCACUAAAUUAUGCAUCAUGCUGGAAUUUUAUUUUGUGUGCCUUCUGUGACAAUAUAAAAGUAAUAUAUUAAUACCAAAGUUUGGGAAUUUAACCCUAGUUUGCAAAUUAGAGGUUAGAGAAGAGAAGGAAAAUGUUAUAUAAAAAAAAUAAUAAUAAAUAAAUAGAUAUAAAAAUAAUUGGACCUUUCAUAUUAUUAGUUUCAAUGUGUACAUUUAAAAUGAGUAUAAUCUUACAAUUUGAAUUGAAUUCAAAUUUGAAUUAUAAAAACAAAGAGGAAAGUAAAUUCAGAAAAAGGAAAAUAAAAAGGGAAAGGUGAAAAACGUGCAUGGGCCCAAACCACCUCUUUGGCCCACUUCACUUCCUUCCGCGCGCGGCCCACCUCCCGCUUUUCCCCGCGCGCGGCCCAGCUGUUCACCUGCGCGCCUACCUCUCCUUGGUGACACUGACGCGUGGGGCCCUAGAGUCGGACCCGUCUCCUCCGCGUCGCGCGCCCAGGAUGCGGAACUCUCCGUAACAAACCUUGCCGGCGAACCCGCGUCUGUUGCAGCUGAAUCACGAGCAUCGCGGGAUUCUAACCUCCCCUGGACGGUAUAUGAGCGUGGCCGCCUCCCCUCACAAUCAACCGAGGCGCCUCGUGCUGGGAGCCAUCCCCGUAGACCAAAUCUGAGAGAGGAGUGGAUGCCGCCGCGGCUAUUCUUGCCGUCGUCGUGAUUCCGCUCAUCUACCUUCGCUCGGUGUGCGUGGCAUGGUCAUCGAAGAUCUCCAGGGCGCGUUGAAGCUCGUUAUGGCGACGCCGGGCGGGAUGGCUCUCUCUGUCACCGAAAUUUCACCGGAACUGAAUCUCUAUUGUCGGGUGCCGCCGCCGCCAAAACUUCGCACCAUAUCGCCGCUCCCCCUGUUUUGUGCCCGGAGGAACUCGCGGAUUCGUGCGCAACCUCAUCGCCGACUAUUUUGGACUUGUGGUUGGCUCGGGCCACCUCGAUUGCUCACCGGUGUCCCAGCUCCGCCUCGGAUCCGCUUUGCACCGUCGACUGGCCGCAACACGGUUCCAAUUGCCGGUAACAACUUCCCCUAUGUCUCACCGUAGCUCUGCAUUUGUAUAGUUUACCUACAAUCG